UGGCAGUGUGCUAUGGGAGACAGUGGAGCCCACGGUGACCCUAGUGGUCUGUUUCUCACUUUUAGAUAAGACGGUAAUUCUUGGGAGCCAAGUCUGGUGUCUCAUGCCUAUGAACUCAGCACUCCUAGGUUGCAGCUGGAGAACUGCCAUGAGUUUGAGGACAGUCAGGCAUGGAGGAGCACACAUCUCUGAUCUAGCCUAUGGGCAGACAUGGAGCAUAUGAACAGAACAGGCUGAAAGCUCAAGGGCUAGUUACUCUGGCGUGUGCUGCACAGUGGUAGAAACGCCACCAGAGACACUGCCUCUACAAGACAGAUGGUAUAAGACAGCUUCUGAAGUUUGUCCUGUGACUUCAAGAGAAAUGAAGCAAGACUUACGGCUCGCCGUCCAACUGGGAAACUUCCAAAGCAGGUUCCAAGAACGCAGUUGUGUUGGCUUCUCUGUUGCCAUGGACCUCGGCUGGCACUAUGCUGCUUUUGUUCCUGCCACCCGUCUCCUGGAAGAUAUGUCCUCAGAAGUUUGAGAGAUCCGAGCUGGCCCCAAGGAGCUGCAUGUGUGAGAAAAUCUCUCUAUUUCUUCCUCCCUCCCCACUCCACGGUAUUAGGAACAGAGCUAGAAUGUGUGCCUGUUGGGCAAGCAUUCAGAGUUGAAGAAUGACAGAAUGGUUGUAGAAACUCAACCCAGUAUCAUCUUAACUGGGCUUACAUGCAUGUCUGUGAUGUGUGAAGUGGAACUGGACUCUGUCCCAGGAUUUCUUGCUGGAAGCAGCUUGGGAAGUUGCCAAUGAUUCUCUGAGGCAAGAAGUCUUCAUCUGGGACAGGACAACUGUGAGGUCCAGGAGGAUGAUACAGAAAUGCAGAAACUCCAGUGAUGGCAACAGGACAUGUACCACCUAAGGUGAGAAGCAAGCUUCACCUGUGCAGGGUGACCCCUGUGACCCUGGAGGAGGAGGAUAGCCUGUGUGGAACUGGUGACCUUAAGAAGCAACACACCUGUAAAGAAGGAGUGAAAAUCCAAUUCCUGGCAUCAGGGGGACAGAGUCACAACUAGGGAUCUGCACACCCUGGUCACUAUCCUGUGUCUCUUGCUGCACAAGGUUCUGAAUCUUGUGACCAAGCCAGGAAGGAGACCACCUGCCCAAGUGCGGAUCCACACACAAUAGGCUGGGCCACCCCGCGUAAUCAAUGAUGAACCAAAAAAGUGCUUCACAGACUUCGCUACAGUCUAAUCUGAUGGAGGCAGUUUCUGGAUCCCCAGAUGACUCUAGCUGGUGCCAAGUUGACAGAAGACAAGGCCCCAUAAG